rnacentral:lncRNA from 1 species
CUGUAAACCAUUUACAUUACUUUUACCCGUAGUAGGCAGGUGUCAGUUUGCAUGUGCGUUCUGUGAUAGCCUUGUGGGACACUGACCUGCUUUUUACUUUUGCCCCUCCAAAGCUUUACUCAGGAUUGGGUCAGACCAUAGAAUUUUCACUGUUGGUUUCCUAGAUAUAGCAUUUGCAAUUUUAAUUUUGAUAAAAGGACCAGCUGGGAGUCACCGUCAGCAUAGAGUGCUAUUUUUACUAACAACUGAUGUACAAUACAAUAUGCUGUAUUUGUUCUUCUUCAGGGAAUAUUGGAACACCAAAACCCCUGGUACCUACCAUUGCAUUUGUUGUGACACACCUUUAUUCGAGUAAGAGUUUGUAUUUUGUUUAGGCACUUUUCAUAAGAAAUCUUCAUUGGAUCUUCAAUAACCUUGAUCAACUGCUAUUCUUCCUCUAGAUCAUCAACCAAAUUUGACAGUGGUACUGGUUGGCCAUCAUAUUAUCAGCCCAUAGGAAGCAACAUGAAGUCAAAGUUGGAUUUGUCAAUUAUUUUCAUGCCUCGCCAGGAGGUCCUUUGUGCCGUAUGUGAUGCUCAUCUUGGCCAUGUCUUUGAUGAUGGCCCACCACCCACAGGAAAGCGUUACUGUAUCAACAGGUAAAUUCUUCCAAUCAAUUGGUGGCCUUCAAAUUUUUACCUGAAAUAUGUAAUGUUAUGCUUAACAUCUUUUUCAUACUAUUUUGCAGUGCUUCCUUAAAACUGAAGCCAAAAUAGGUAUGAAUAUCAAGCCAGAAUACCAGAAUGAGCUACAUGUAAAUGAACUUCUACUGUUUACACUUGUUAAUCAAUUUUUCUCUGUGAACUACACUUCUAUGACAAAAUUUUAAUAUUUUUUAUUGCAAAGUAUAUAUCCAAUACGCUUUGAAUGAUGUCUAUGGCCUCUGGAGAAGGAAAAUCAUGAGCUGAAUAGGGGACCUAAGUUUAUGGAAUUUAGGUUUGGGUCUUUUAUCGAGAUGGAGUAAAACCCACAGAAUGAUGUCUAUGGGGUAUAGUUGUAAUUAUCUAAUAUAUUGUGAGUUAUGUCCUAGAAAAGGGCAAAGAGGAUUCUGUUUGUUCUUUCUUCCAUUGAUGUUCUGGGAACAUAUUACUCGAUUUUCUGUAGUUGCAUGUUGGGCUGUAUAAUUUCAUCUAUUGGCAGGGAGGUUAAAAUUUGCAACAUUAACAAACCCAAAGUUGCUUAAGCAGGCAUGCAGCGGAACAGAAAAUUUCUUCUCUCAGGGUUGUCUUAUAAAUUUUACAAGAUUCCUUCUACUGUAUGAAAGAUGCAACCUCUUUAUAUCUAGAAACUUCUGUUUAUUUUUUUUAUAAAUAUGAAGAGGCAGGCUGUAUCAAACAAAUAAAUUAUUCUCUUAUUCUUUGCACACGCACCAGUAUCACUACUUAGACCUCGCAAGUAGGGAUAUCUAGAUUCGGAAGGAUCCGGAAAAUUUGGAUUUAGAAAAAUUCGGAUCCGUAUAUUAAAAAAUACGGAUCCAGAUCCUUAAAAUUAAGAUCCGUGCAUAUUCAAAUAUAAAUCUGGAUGUAAAAUGCAUUUGGAAAAUCGGAUAUCUGGAUCCACAUUAUUUUUCAAUGAAAUUAUUUAUUAAAUUAAAAUUAAAUAAAAUAUAUAUAAUAAAAAAAAACAUAAUAGGACUAAUUAAAAAAAUAUAGAAGUUAAAUUAAAUUGAGAAAUAUAUUGGGAUUUGUAUUAUUUUUAAUUAAAUUAUUUAUUAAAUUAAAAUUAAAUGACAAAAUAUAUAAGCUAAAUGAAAAACAUAGUAGGAUUAAUUAAAAAUAUAGAAGUUAAAUUAAAUUAAGAAAUUAUUGAGAUUUGCUUUAUUUUCUAAUUAAAUUAUUUAUACUAUAAAAUUAAAUGAAAAAAUAUAUAAAUUAAAUGAAAAACAUAAUAGCAUUAAUUAAAAAAUAUAGAAAUUAAUUUAAAUUAAGAAAUAUAUUGGGAUCCGCUAACAACUGAUGUACAAUACAAUAUGCUGUAUUUGUUCUUCUUCAGGGAAUAUUGGAACACCAAAACCCCUGGUACCUACCAUUGCAUUUGUUGUGACACACCUUUAUUCGAGUAAGAGUUUGUAUUUUGUUUAGGCACUUUUCAUAAGAAAUCUUCAUUGGAUCUUCAAUAACCUUGAUCAACUGCUAUUCUUCCUCUAGAUCAUCAACCAAAUUUGACAGUGGUACUGGUUGGCCAUCAUAUUAUCAGCCCAUAGGAAGCAACAUGAAGUCAAAGUUGGAUUUGUCAAUUAUUUUCAUGCCUCGCCAGGAGGUCCUUUGUGCCGUAUGUGAUGCUCAUCUUGGCCAUGUCUUUGAUGAUGGCCCACCACCCACAGGAAAGCGUUACUGUAUCAACAGGUAAAUUCUUCCAAUCAAUUGGUGGCCUUCAAAUUUUUACCUGAAAUAUGUAAUGUUAUGCUUAACAUCUUUUUCAUACUAUUUUGCAGUGCUUCCUUAAAACUGAAGCCAAAAUAGGUAUGAAUAUCAAGCCAGAAUACCAGAAUGAGCUACAUGUAAAUGAACUUCUACUGUUUACACUUGUUAAUCAAUUUUUCUCUGUGAACUACACUUCUAUGACAAAAUUUUAAUAUUUUUUAUUGCAAAGUAUAUAUCCAAUACGCUUUGAAUGAUGUCUAUGGCCUCUGGAGAAGGAAAAUCAUGAGCUGAAUAGGGGACCUAAGUUUAUGGAAUUUAGGUUUGGGUCUUUUAUCGAGAUGGAGUAAAACCCACAGAAUGAUGUCUAUGGGGUAUAGUUGUAAUUAUCUAAUAUAUUGUGAGUUAUGUCCUAGAAAAGGGCAAAGAGGAUUCUGUUUGUUCUUUCUUCCAUUGAUGUUCUGGGAACAUAUUACUCGAUUUUCUGUAGUUGCAUGUUGGGCUGUAUAAUUUCAUCUAUUGGCAGGGAGGUUAAAAUUUGCAACAUUAACAAACCCAAAGUUGCUUAAGCAGGCAUGCAGCGGAACAGAAAAUUUCUUCUCUCAGGGUUGUCUUAUAAAUUUUACAAGAUUCCUUCUACUGUAUGAAAGAUGCAACCUCUUUAUAUCUAGAAACUUCUGUUUAUUUUUUUUAUAAAUAUGAAGAGGCAGGCUGUAUCAAACAAAUAAAUUAUUCUCUUAUUCUUUGCACACGCACCAGUAUCACUACUUAGACCUCGCAAGUAGGGAUAUCUAGAUUCGGAAGGAUCCGGAAAAUUUGGAUUUAGAAAAAUUCGGAUCCGUAUAUUAAAAAAUACGGAUCCAGAUCCUUAAAAUUAAGAUCCGUGCAUAUUCAAAUAUAAAUCUGGAUGUAAAAUGCAUUUGGAAAAUCGGAUAUCUGGAUCCACAUUAUUUUUCAAUGAAAUUAUUUAUUAAAUUAAAAUUAAAUAAAAUAUAUAUAAAAAAAAAAACAUAAUAGGACUAAUUAAAAAAAUAUAGAAGUUAAAUUAAAUUGAGAAAUAUAUUGGGAUUUGUAUUAUUUUUAAUUAAAUUAUUUAUUAAAUUAAAAUUAAAUGACAAAAUAUAUAAGCUAAAUGAAAAACAUAGUAGGAUUAAUUAAAAAUAUAGAAGUUAAAUUAAAUUAAGAAAUUAUUGAGAUUUGCUUUAUUUUCUAAUUAAAUUAUUUAUACUAUAAAAUUAAAUGAAAAAAUAUAUAAAUUAAAUGAAAAACAUAAUAGCAUUAAUUAAAAAAUAUAGAAAUUAAUUUAAAUUAAGAAAUAUAUUGGGAUCCGCUUUAUUUUAUGUGGAUUUGUGGUCUUUUUAUAAUUUUAUUUGUGGAUUUGUGGUAAUGCUAGACUUGAAUUUAUGUUAUUCUUGAUGUUUGAUUUAUGUUGUGGUAUUUUUAUUUGUAACUUUAUAGUGUUGUAUGUUAUUCUAGGUAUUAAAUUGUUGAUUGUUAAAUUAUGAUUGAAUUUUAUUUGAUAUUAUUAGGUGAAUUGUUGAAUUUUAAAUUAUUGAAUUGUAAUUUUUACGGAUCUAUAUAUUCGGAAUAUCCACUCGCAAUCUGUGCAGAUAUUACUUUAUCCAGAUCUUCAUUUUUUUUUUUAGAUCCGUAAGUGGAUUUGGAUAUAAGAAUAUCAAUCCGGAUCCAGAUUUUACCAUCCCUACUCGCUAGGGUUGGGUGUUCGGAACCCGAAAUUAUUUCGGGUUUGUUUUGGUUCAGAUUAGCUAUUAGAAGGAGUCCAAUCAAUUUUCAUUUUGAACCGAAUUAAAAACUCAAUCGGGUUUGUCCUUAAAAAUAAAAAAAUAAAAACAAGGGGUAUGAAAGGCAAAAAUAAAAACACGUAAUCCCCAAUACCCUUCUCCUUAUUGUAAAACAUAUGCUAUAAGCGCUAACCCUAAGCUAAGAAACAUACAUGCUACACCGCUGCCAUUGUCACCUGCUUUCAGGUGUUUUGGUGCUGGCUCAAUCUUUGGUCAACCGAAGCUGCAAUUAUUUCUAUUGCUUAAGUUCUUCAGUUAUUUGAUUCCUUGUGUCACGGCCCGCUUAUAUUCCACAUUGUGUUGUGCAGCCUUAAGUGCCAAAUUCACACUCUCUUAACCCUAAGUCAGCUUUACACUCAAAUUUGCUGCUGGAUUCGAAAAUUAGAAUGAAUAUUCACUCAAACUCACACAAGAUGGGAGGAAAGGACUUGUAUUGCUUGAUGAAAUGCUUACAAGCUAUGUGUGUUGUGUUGCUUGUUAUGUUUUGUGUAUCUUGGCCAAAUGAGGCCCCCUCCUAUAUAUAGAGUACAAGAGAGUGGGUUAAUGCUCAGCUACCACCUACCACCUACCACCUACCCAUAAUAAGUAUAUGAGAAAUAUCUACACACUACAUGAGUCUAGAAUCAUCUAUGGGUCAGGCCAUGCUACUUGAAGGCUUGGGCCAUGACAUUCUCCCGCACCUAAUAAGGAGACGUCCUUGUUGACUCGCUGUGGAAGUCCUUGAUCGUGUUUUAAAACUGCCACAAAUCAUUUGCGAGCUCCCUACUUACUUUGCUCUCGGGUAGUCCCUUCCACUUGACGAAGUACUCUUGGCAUGGCGGAAAACUCUUCUUCCGAACAACACGAUUAGCCAAGAUGGUAUCUACUUCUUUGUCUUACACCCUCAUGUUACCGAGUGGAGGGCGCUUGGAUUCUCCUUGCUUCGGAUCUUUCGUAUCCUCAUGGUAUGGCUUCAAGCAACUCACGUGGAAGACCGGAUGGAGUUUUAGCCAAAAGGGCAACUCUAGCUUGUACGACACAUUACCGACACUCUUGAUGAUGGGAAAUGGUCCCUCGUACUUCUGGAUAAGGCUUUUGUACAGUGGACGGGUAGACUUAGGUUGGGAUGGAAAGAUCUUCACUAACACAAUGUCCCCUACAUUGAACUUCAAGUGUCUACGCUUAUUGUCCGCCCACUUCUUCAUCCACAUGGUUGCCUUGUCGAGGUGCGCCCGUGCUAUGUUCGCUUGCUCAUGUCACGACUUAGCCACCUUGUAUGCUGUGGGACACCUCCCGAUGUAGCUCGUGAUGAGUGUGUGUGGCGUUAGCGGCUGUUGUCCCAUGAUCACCUCGAAAGGGCUCUUCAAAGUAACCUCAAUUUGCUGCAAGUUGUAGAAAAAUUGGGCCACUUCCAGUAACUUCACCCAAUCAUGUUGGUUGACGCUCACAAAACGCCGCAAGUACAGCUCUAACAGGGCAUUCAUUCUCUCUGUUUGCUCGUUGGUCUGUGGGUGAAAGCUCGUAAAGAAGUAUAACGCCAACUCCUUUAGCUUAAACAACUCAGUCCAAAACCUCCCUGUAAACCGGCUGUCACGGUCACUAACGAUGGAUUUCAGAAGUCCCCAAUGCUUCACCACAUGCUUAAAGAAAAGCUUGGUCGUGUCCUUCGUAGUGCAUUCAUUCGAGGCGGGAAUAAAAGUGGCAUAUUUGGAGAAGCGAUCCACAACCACAACAAUGGUCGCAAACCCCUCAGACUUCGGAAGACAAGUUAUGAAAUCCAUCGAAAUGUUUUCUCACGGUCGAUCCAGAGUGGAUAGUGGCUCAAGCAACCCUACGGGAUAUUGUUGCUCUGCUUUGUCCUGCUGGCACACUAAGCAUGUCUGCACAAACUAUUCCACCUCAUCCCGCAUCUGAGGCCAAUAGUAUGCCGACUCAAGUAAGGCUCGUGUCCAUCUUUGUCUCGGGUGUCCAUCCCACUUGGUAUCUUGACACUUUUUUAUCAGGUUUUGCCUCAAGUUUCCAUACUUCAAAACAUAGACACGCUGUUCUUUGGUGUAUAAAAGGCCAUCUUUGACCCAAAAUCUUUUUGAUUUCCCAUGCUGCACAAGAGAAACCAGCUGCUUGGCCAAGGGAUCAUGUUUCGUUCCCUCUUUGAUGAGCGUGAAAAGCUCCAUUUGUACUCAGCUCUUAGCAGCAAGCUCGCCCUUUCGACUUAAAGUGUCCGCUACCAAAUUGGCCUUUCUCGGCUUAUACUCCAGCACAUAGUCGAAUUUGGCUAAGAAAUCUUGCCAUCUCGCUUGUUUUAGACUCAGCUUCUUUUGGCUUUGAAAGUAACUAGUGGCCACAUUGUUCGUCUUCACCACGAACUUGGACCUAAGCAAGUAGUGCCUCUAUGUGUGCAAACAGUGCACUACCGCAGUCAUCUCCUUCUCUUGUACCGUAUAUUGCUGCUCCGUAUUAUUGAGCUUUCGGUUUUCAAAGGCUAUGGGAUGUUUAGUUUUCAUUAGUACAACCCCAAUAGCAAAAUCGGAAGCAUCCGUGUGUACCUCGAACAGUAAAGCAUGGUUUGGCAGUGUCAGUACUAACUCUUCCGUCACGGCCUUCUUAAGGGCAUCAAAGGCUUGUUGGCUCUUCUUCAUCCAUUCCCACUUAGUAGUCUUCUUGAGCAAGUCAGUGAGUGGUGCGACAAUGGUGGAACAAUUCCUGAUGAACCUCUAAUAGUAGUUGGUGAGGCCUAAGAAAGAUCGCAACUCUGUAAACUUCGUGGGUAGCUCCCACUUGGCAAUGGCUUGGACCUUAGCCUUGUCCAUGAGCAACGUCACAUCUCUGAUUUUGUGGCCAAGAAAAUCAACCUCCGGUUUAGCAAAUGAGCACUUCUCUCGUUUAACAUAUAGCUCAUUGUCCCGCAACACCUCGAACACAACCUGCAAGUGUUCGGCAUGCUCCUCCAAGGUGUCGCUAUAGACCACGAUGUCAUCGAAAUACACCACCACAAACUAAUCAAGGUAUGGAUAGAAUAUGCAGUUCAUGAGGAUACAGAAUGUAGCCAGCGCGUUGGUGAGGUCGAAAGGCACGACUUUGAACUCGUACGCCCCAUAUCUAGAGCGAUAAAAGAAACAACUAUCCCAAAGGUGAUGAUCAAGGGAUGCAGGCACAUGCUAUAAAAGCUAUCAAACAGAUAGCCAGAGAAACAUCCUUGCAAGUCAUUGAGGAAGCUUGUAACCCAAGAAUGAAGGCAAUAGGGUGAGUAAUCGAGGAUCUUAGGCUUUUUAUUAACGAUAUGAACAAAGCGACAAAUCAAAGGCAAGUAGUUAAUCGCGAGGAAGUAUUUCAGGGAGUCAAUUGUAAAGAACAAGAUUAUAAUAAAAAAAAAGAUACUUCAAGGAGACAAUCAUGAAGUAGUGCCUCAGAGUGUCAAUUGUAAUAUAGUACAUCAGUAUCCAAGCCUACAAGACGAAUGCCUACGUGCAUGCUAGAUAACACAAGUAGAUAAUUUCCUUAAGUAUAUGGAAAAUCCUUAAGAGAAGUGGGUUAAGCUAGUGGCAUUUAAGUUAAAGGGUGUGUCAUCCACAUGGUGGCAACACAUACAAAAUUGAAGAAAAGUUACGGGAGAGCCAAUAAUCAAAUUGUUGGCUAGAAUCCAAAGGAUAAUGGAAAAGCCAAUAGAUUAUAAACAACAAUUAUAUUUGAAAUAUCAGAACUCCAGGCAAGCAAAUUGUAGUGUCGAUAACUAUGUAAGAGAAUUUUAAUCGACCACGAGUGAGAAAUAAUUUGGAUGAGUCAAAGUUUAGAAUAGUUGAAAAUUAUAUUGAUAGAUUGAAAUAAGAGCUUCAAGAUGAGAUCAUAGAGCCACUUUGGAAUAUGGGCACAACGAUCACGAUGGUGAAGUAGUUGGAAGAACGGAAGUAGUUUACUGUUUCUAAAACUCAACAACGUUAAUUCAUUGGUCUGCAGAAUUGGCCAAGUAGUCAUAGUUGAGAACAAGCAAAAGACAUGGGCUAGAAGUAGUCAGUCACAACAACCAUUAGAGCAACAAACAAGACAAUAUCCACCUAGACAGCAACUGUGCCAAUAGCAACCUCAAAAUAAUCCAUAUGCAAAGCCUAUACUAGAUAAGUAUUUAAGGUGUGGGAAACCAAGGCAUCGAUCAAAUGAAUGUCAUGGUAAAGAUUUGAAUUUAAUAAAAGAUAAAGUAGACAAGACAAAGACAAACGUUGUUAAGGAUGGAGAUGAGAAGAAGCAUUAAAUAUUGGUGCAAAUGAAAGAGAGAUACUGAUUGUAUCAUGUAAAAGAUUUUAUUAGCACCAAAGUUUAAAGAUGAUAACUAAUGCAUUAAGAUUUUUAGGACAUGUGGCACCAUUAAUAAUAAUGUUUGAUUUGAUUUCUAAAAAAUAUCACUAAUUCUUAACUUCCUAUAAAAAAAAUGGUAAUACAACCCUAUUUGUAAUUCCAUCAAUUAUUCAAUUUAAACGAAAGCCAAGUGCAUAUUUUAAUUUUCAGUAUUAAUUGCAAUGUGAUAAUCGAUAGAGGUAGUAGCGAGAAUAUAGUUUUGAAGACACUAAUUAACGUGAUGGGACCAUAAAAAAAAAUUAGCACUUUACAAGAUAAGGUGGAUAAAGAAAAGACAGCAACGUGAGUUACAAAAGUUUGUUGUGUUCCUUUCUUUAUUUUAAAGAUUUAUAAGAGUGAUGUGGUUUCUGAUACAAUGGAUAUGGAUGCUUGUCAUCUUUUACUGGGUAGACUAUAAUAGUGUAUUGUUAAUGCAAUUAAUAAAAGAAGGGAUACUAUAUAUGAAUUUUGGUGGAAUAGCAAGAAGGUUCAUUUGGUGCUUUAAACAAAUAAGAAAAAGAAUUCUAAAGCUGAAAGGAAGAGUUUUCUUACCAUUUUUAAGAGUCAUUUGGAGGGUGAUUGUGAUGACCGCAAGAAGUUAAAAAAUGAUAAGGAACUUAAGGUGAAGACUGUUCUUAAUGAAGUAUAAUUAUUGUUAGCUGAUUUUACAUCCUCUAAGAUGCUAGAUGGCCUACCACCUUUGGGAGAUAUGCAGUAUUAUAUUGACCUAGUUCCUGGUGCGAGUAUACCUAACUUGCCUCACUAUUGCAUUACUCUUCAAGAGCAUGCAAUCUUACAAGAAUAGGUUGAUGAGUUGUUGCAAAAAGAAUUCAUUCCUGAGAGCAUGGGUCAAUAUGUUGUACUAGCUUUGUUGAUGCGAAAAAACAAUGGGAGCUGGCGUAUGUAUACAGACAAUAGGCAAAUUAACCAUAUUAACAUGAAAUAUUGAUUUGCUAUUCUAACAUUCUAGGAUUUGUUAGAUUAGUUAGAAGGUGCUCAAAUUUUCUUAAAGAUAGACUUGUGCAGUGGUAUCAUCAAAUUAGAAUUAGGCCUUUAAAUGAGUGGAAAACAGUACUCAAGGCAAAGGCAGGGUUGUACAAGUGGUUUAUGAUGAAAUUCAUGUUAUUAAAUGCGCCAAGUACCUUUAUAUAUUUAAUGAAUUAAGUUGUUUAGCCUUUUUUCCAACAAAUUUGUUGCGGUGUAUUUUGAUGAUAUUUUGAUUUAUUAUGUGGACACGCGUGGAGCAUUUGACAAUGAUUAUAGAGGUGUUGCAAUAAACUUUACAUUAAUUUGAAGAAAUAUAGCAUUUUAUAUAGUAAUGUGGAGUUUUUGGGUUUCAUGGUUGGUAUAGAUGGGAUUAAAUCUAUUGAAUGGAAGAUACAAGCCCUUAUAGAAUGCACUAUGCCCAAGAUAGUGGGUGAAGUUAAGAAUUUUCUCAUGGACUGAUAAAAUUUUAUAGGAGAUUUAUUCGCGAUUUUAGCACUAUAAUCAUGCCAAUUACGAAAUGUUUGAAGAAAUAAACUUCAUAUAAGGAGAAGAGCAAGAGGUGAGUUUUGAUUUAUUAAAAGGAGGAGUUUCUUCCCUCACUUUACUCCAAAUAUGUAUGUGUAUAUUAGUAGGGGUGGGAAAAUUGAGUUUCAGUUUAAGUUGUUCGGGUUUCGGUAUAGGUUACAAUCCAUUCAUGUUGGAAAAUUCAACCCAACUAGACUCGAAACUCAAACCCAAGCCAAAUUGAACCAAAUUGAACUCGGUAUGAAUUCAAGUUUCGAAUCGUAUUAUAUUGAAAAUCCAGGUCUUUAUUUCGAUUUAGGUUACAAUUCAGGUUACAACCUAAAAUUUCAAAUUCACUUUUAAAUGAAUCAAAUCCCAACCGACUAAAUUCCAAAUUCAGCUUCAUAUGAAUCAAAUUCCAGCCUAGAUCAAUUGCAAAAGUUGUUGGUUGUUGAUAGAAGAAGAAAUUAGAAAAGUAAAUAAAUAAGAGAAACUCAUAAGAGUUGUUAUUUUUUACUUAUUAUUAACGAUGGUGAACACCUUCUCAACCAAGCCAUUUCUUUAAGAAUGUCACGACACAAAUUAUGGAAUCAAGAGAGUAAAUAACCAAAUUAUAGUAUUUAAAACCCAUUUCUUUAAGAACCCUAAACCCAAAUUAUAAUAUUUAAAUAACCAUCACCCAAAUUACAGUAAACAACCAUCAAUAACAACACCCAAAGUCCCAAAUCAAAUACAAUAAUUUACCUUGCACAACUGACGACAACAAAUGAAGAUGGAAGCAAUGAUGAGCGACAGUACAGACAAUGGUAGCUAUAACAAGUGUCAUGGCCCAAGCCUCCAAGUAGCAUGGCCUGGCCCAUGGAUGACUCUAGACUCAUGUGUAGAUAUUUCUCAUGUACUUAUUAUAAGUAGGUGGUAGGUGGUAGGUGGUAGUUGAGCAUUAACCCACUCUCUUGUACUCUAUAUAUAGGAGGGGCCUCAUUUGACCAAGACACAAAAGACAUAACAAGCAACACAGUACACAUAGCUUGUAAGCAUUUCAUCGACCAAUACAAGUCUUUUCCUCCCAUCUUGUAUGAGUUUGAGUGAAUAUUCAUUUCGGUUUUCGAAUCCAACAACCGAUUUGAGUGAAAGGCUGACUUAGGGCCAGGAGAGUGUGAAUUUGGCACCUAAGGCCGCACGACACAACGUAGGAUAUAAGUGGGCUGUGACAGUUGGUAUUAGAGUCGUCAACACUCAUGGGGUAGUUGUGUGCGGGACGUGCAUUAUUAACACAUGGGACUUGCUGAAGUGCAAGCUCAAGAAUUAAUUCUAUUCGGGGAAUGUGGCGUAUGAGGCUCGCAAGAAGAUGCGAGAACUGAAGCAUACCACAUCCAUCUCAAAGUAUGUCAAUGAUUUCUUGAAGCUCAUACUCCAAAUCGAUAACAUGGACACGAAUGACUUACUGUUCAACUUCAUGGAGGGACUCGAACUGUGGGCAUAAUAAGAGUUACAGUGACGUUAAGUGAAUGACUUCUCCACAGCCCUUAUCGAUGUGGACAUGCUUGUAGGAUUUUGGAAGCGUGAGUCAUCCAAGGCGAAGAAGGAUGAUAAGCCUCAACAUGGCAAAAGUGGGGGAGCGAAUGGCAGCACCAUGAUGGCAAUGAUAAGCCACAAAAGAAGGAUGACCCAAGGGAUGGUCCGAAGGAUGGCAAGAAGGAAGCCAAAUGCAAGCACAAUUGUUUCCUUUGUGAUGAGGACCAUUGGGUGUGGGACUGCCCAAAGAAUAAAGUUUUCAACGCCAUGUUUAGCGAGACCGGUGAGAAGCAACUGGAGGCACCACCAGCCGACGUCACCAACAUGGGUUGUCUCCAACUCUUCAAUGCACUGAAUGCCAAGCUAAUUCCAGCAAAGGUGCAGGACAAGUCGCUCAUGCACGUCGAGGCCACAAUCAACGGGAAGUAAGCUCAAGCCUUGACUAACACGGGAGCAUCUUAUAACUUCAUCAAGGUAGAUGAGGCCAAGUGGCUUGGACUCAAGGUUGAGAAAACAAAUAGAUGACUGAAGACGGUAAAUUCAGAGGCCAAACAACUUAGCGGCGUAGUGUGGGAUGUGGAGCUACACUUAGGCCCUUGGCGAGUUAAGGCCAAUUUUUUCGUUGUACCUUUGGAUGACUUUGUGCUUAUUUUGGGCAUGGAAUUUUUAUAACACUUCAAUGCGGUGCCACUUUUGAGGUACAACUCAAUGUGCAUCCUGGAGGGAGCCCCAUGCUUGGUCCCGACAGUAAGCAAGGCCACACCACCAGGCCAACUUUCUACAAUGCAAAUCAACAAGUGUUGCAAACGACAUGAGGAGACAUUUCUCGCCACCAUUCAUGAGGCCGAUAAAGAGAAAGACGCUACAGCCAUGAAGCCCAUCCGGAGGCGGUGGCCUAAGUUCUUGAGGAGUAUAGGGACGUGAUGCCAUCUGAAUUGCCAAAACAGUUCCUCCCACGACAGGAGGUGGACUACAAGAUUGAGCUGGAGCCGAGUGCCAAGCUGCCUGCACGAGCACCUUACCGCAUGUCUCCAUUAGAGUUAGAGGAGUUUCAAAGGCAAAUCAAGGCGCUGCUGGACGCGGGAUAUAUCCAGCCCUCGAAGGCACCAUACAGGGCACCGGUGCUGUUCCAACGGAAGCAUGAUGGCUCACUUUGAUUGUGCAUUGACUACUGGGCUCUUAACAAGGUGACCGUGAACAACAAAUAUCCCUUUCCAUUGAUAACAGACUUGUUUGAUCAACUUAGACGGGCCAAGUACUUUCUCCAAGCUGGACCUUAGAUCGUCAUACCAUGGUCACAAACGAAUCUAGCUCUGAUACCAACUGACGAUGUGGAGAUAUAAGAGAUUAAUAGAUAAAAGAAACUAAAUUUUUGAAUAAUGAAAAUUUUAUUGGAAAACUCUAAAUGAACAAAACUAGGAUUUGAGGUCCCUUUUAUAUUAACCUUAAAUAUUACGAAUUUACCAAAAUGGGCAAAUCUGAAAAUUUUCUUUUAUAAUGAAAUUCUCAUAAUCUAAAUAAGGAAAAAAAAUGAACAACACCUAAAUCUGAUAUUUAGAAAAAUAAAAUAAAAAUCCUAAUAGUUAUAGGAAAAAUAAAAAAUAACUAAAAAUUAUAAAACAAUUAAGAAAGAAAUAGAAUUUCUGCCUCGACCACAAGGCAAAACGACAUAAUUAUUCUGAGUUUGCUUCGAAAUAUUACAUUAUACACCCAAAACUGACACCUAUAACCCAAGUUAAAGCCCUCAGAAAGGUAUCUUACUCAUCCUACGCAACCAUCUUACAUCAUUAACUUAGUUUAACGGAAAUGUUUUAAUUGACAUUAGUUUAUUUUGAUAUUCUUGUGUUGGUAAUAUGAUUUUAUACUAUCAAGUUCUGAAAGUAAAAUUAUUAGUUAUUUAAGGAUCGAGUACUCUCGAGAUCUCCUUCUAUCAAUUGCAAUCCCCAUCCCCUCCUCUCAAGUAAUUAUAACAGAGACAGGGAGGGUCCAAGGCCUUAAGCAUAACAUUGUGGAUGGAUAUGGAAUGUCAAUCCCCUUGCCUUUCCUUCCCAUUACCAUCUCUAAUCACAAGAUACAAUUAUUUUUAUUAUCUUUUUUAACUUGUUAAUCAAUCUUUUCAUGUCAUGUAAGCUGUCGUUUUUAUGUAUUGACUUGUACUAUCUGCCAUGCUUAAAAUUGGGGUCUUCUUAAGUUGUAUUUAAUGUAACUUAUAGUCAUUAAAAAUAAAAUAAAAAUAAAAUAUUCAUCUUAUAUAUAGAGAUGGCCAGCAUCAAAGUAAGGCCCAUGCAUGCUCGUACCGGUGUCGUGUCAUGCCCACUAUGUAUUUCGUGUCGUGUUUUGCUUAGACCCACCACAUGUGUCGUGCCGUGCCUAAGAAAAAAAGUCCAAUAAGUUUUUUUUUUUUAAAAAACAUUUUUAAAAACGCAUGUCAAGUUGUUGGCUUACUUUUUCAAGCCUAAGUAUUUUUUUAGGUCUAUACAUUUAUUAAAAUUUAAUAAAAUUAAAAAUUGAAAACUCAAGUCAAUAUUCAAUAAUAAUAAACUAAUAAUAGUAAGAGAAUGUGAUAUUAAUUACUAAAUUUGACCUUAUAGUAUUAGAAUUUUUUUAAUACUUAACAACAACAACAAUAAUAAAUUUUUCUUAAGAGUUAACUUAAUUGUUAACUUGGAUUUACAUUGAAUCAUAGAUCAUAGUUCACAAAAUUAUUAAUGCAUAUCUAUAAAAUCAUGAUAUUUAUAAUUUUAUUUAUUAAAAUCAUGAUAUCAAUUAUUUAUUUAAUAAAUUAUAAAUAUAAAUCAAUUAUAGUAUUUUUAUGAAACUAAAAAUUAAAUGAAUUUAAUAAUUCAAUUUCAAGUUAUUUGUAAAAUUAUAAAAUUUUAAAUUUACUUUCAUUAAAAAAUAAAACGUGCUUAUUGCGGACUUUUUCAUCAUGUCGUGCUUAGCCCAUCUUUAAUUAUACCGUAUUUUUAAGGUCUGCGCGCCUAAAAUUUUGAGCUCGGCGCAGUCCACGUGCGUGCCGUACUGUGCCACGUGCCUUACCAAAACGUGUUCAUGUUGUACCGUGUUGUACGGACACGUGUCGUGCCUAUGCCACAGGCCAUCUAACCUAUUGACUAUCUGUGCACUUAUAUAUUUACUUAUUUGUACAUAUUUACAUUAUUUUUACUAACCGUAAUUUGUAACAAAUAUAACUCAGAGAUUACCAUAAAAUUAUUAUAUCUAAAAGCAUUUUAAUGUUCACUGCUUAUUUUUAGGUUAACACACUAUGGAUAUAGCUUUUAUGUGGAAUCAAUAAAUAAAAGGAUCGGUUCCCAUCACCCUAUGCACGUUUCCCAUUUUAAUGCUUCAUCUAUUUAUUGAUUUUUGUUUGAUACUAUUGACCAUCUGCUGUUCAUAGAGCCCGAUUUAAUGUCAUGUCUGUCUUUAUUUGUCGUCAGGACAAGGACUUUGCUGAGAUGUUUCUCUACUUUUGCAAAAGAUUUUCGAGAUUUAACUUUCUUUUUCUCUAGGUAAUUGGAAAUUGAGUGUUCCUGAUGGCACCGUCUUUUUAGCCAUGCAGGACAUACAAACAUCAAUGAAAUGGACGUGCAGUGGUGUGUACCUAUCCCGUCCAGACGCCCAUGCUCUUUUGUUAGCGGAAAGUUAUUUUACCACAAUACCGCAAUUGUAUAUUAAAGCUUAAUGACAAAGUUCAAAAAAUAUAACCCCAGAAAAAAUCUAAUAAAAAUAUUCUAAUUGGUAAUGAUUUUUUUUUUUAUUUAAUGUACAACAAAAGCUGGGCCUAAUUAGAGAACCGAAGGUGAUUAAUAUUGGAUCAUAUGAUUAUACCUGUAAAUGUACACUGUAUCCUUUUUUCUUUGAAUAAGUUUUGUUUUAUUAAAUUUUAACAAUACAGUAUUAAUCACAUAAUAACAUCAAUGAAAUUUAACUAAUAUGGUGAUCCAAGAGAGAGUGUUGUGAAGUAGUGGCUCAUCACUUUAGUAAAGCACAAAUCCCAUAUGAAAAUAUAACAUCCCUAUAGCUUCCAAUGAUUGUAUAUAUGUGUGAUGCAUGUAAUUGUUUUGAAAAUAAUAAGAAUUGACUUCUUAUAAGUUUAUUAACAAGCUACUUGUACGUAAUUUAUUUUUUAUUUUGUUAGAUUUAUGACAGUGAAACGUGACCAAUAAUAUUAGUUAUUUCUCUUCGAUAAAAAAGGUUAUUUUUUGCUAGUCCCCAUAAGAAUCUAUAAAUGUUACCGUGCACCCUAAGCUUUCAACAACUAUCGCCGCACACCCAUUCCGUUAGAAAUUACCGUUAACCUUAACGAUUUUAUCAGACAUCUGUUGAAAUCACCAUAAUGCCUCCAUAUAAAUUGAAUUGACUGCAAGUGCUAGAAUUAUAAGAACACAUAUUAAUUGGCAGUUGGCACUUUAUUUUUUUUUUAAAAAAAAGAUUAUUAUAGAAUGUGUAAAAACAAUGUUAAAUAUAAACCGAAAAAUAAUUACAAUUAAAUUAAAGCUUUUUAAAGAAAUUAAAUUAAAACUAAAAUUAAUUGGACAUUAUUAGUCCUUGAACCAAAACCCAGAAGACAUCUCCAAUCCAAGCUCCAACAUCAUGGCAUUUCCCAAUAUUUAUAGCAAUAACCAAAUAUCUUCUUUGAAAGCACACAAACAACAACAUAAACUCCCGAUUUUAUAGCAAAAUCAAAAUAAUUUAUAUAUCAAACAAAUUGUCAACUACGCAAACCUAAAAUUCAAUAAACAAUAACAUGGAAACCCAAAAAUUUUGGGAUUGGGAUUUUAUAGUUGCUAGUCACCAUUGUUGGUGCCGCAUCAGUCAACAGCAACCCAUGAUUCUUUGAACUGCCAGAAGCCUCUCGAUAUCGCGUCAAGCUCCUGCCGCUUGUUUCCACCUAGAAAUGGUCACUCGUUGCGGUAGUGCAAUUGGUUAUGUGACCCUUGUGACGUCCAUGGAAGGGGAAAAGCGAAAAACCUUGUUGGUGACGUCCAUGGAAGGGGAAAAGCGAAAAACCUUGUUGGGGAGUGUGAAUAGAGGAGGGAAGAAAAUGAGCACUUGUUGCAGAGUGUAAAUGGAGGAGGGAAGAUGGAGCAUGAGGGGUCACAGAGAAGGAAGAGAAAAAAAUAAUUUUUUUUCUUUUAUCUUUAUUCAUCGUUGUAAUUUUACUAUUCUACCUUUAUAAUAGUUAAGUUGAUAGUGAUUUUUAACGGAAUAGGUGCGCUGUGAUAAUUGUUGAAAAAUUAGGGUAUACGGUACAUUUGAAGAUUUUUAUGGGAGAUGGCGAAAAAUAAUCCUAAAAAAAAUAAUUAUAAUAAGUGGUAGAUAUUUUUGAACGCUAUAAAAGUGAUGAUUGAUAGAAUUUUCAUAUACGUGGCUGUGCUCUGACGAGAAGUACCUGCUAUUUAAUUAUGAAUCGACCUUUUGAAAUCAACUUUUGCACAACUAACAUUUUCUUCCUCUUUUAGAAAGAGUUUUAACUAUGAGGCAUCCGUCCAGAUGCAACGCACAUCUGUCUUAUUUUGUAUUAUUUAUAGAUUCUGAAAAAAUUUAUGAGAGCUCAGACUCAAAGAAUGAUUUCUCAAAAAAAUAAAAAAUAAAAACCUCAAACAAUGAGGUGAUCAAUCUCUAAAACCAUGGAUGCCUUCAAAAAAAAUAUUGAGGAAUCAAUAAUAUUUUUUUAAAAUAUUUAUGAAAAAUAAAACAUGUGCAAUUUUUUUAGAAACAACAAUCUGUGAUUUUUGAGAAAAUUUUUGACGUAUCCAACUAGUAAAAAUAUUUUUUUAUUCCAUCUUAAAAAAAAUGUCUUAUUUACACAAAAUUAGUAAGUUUUUAGAACUUUUCAAUAUAAAUAUAAUUUACAUUCUUGACAAAAAAUUAUUGAUAAAAUGUUAUUGAAUUGUUUUGUACGUUAUAAAAUACUUCUAAUUAGGGUGGGUAAAAUUAUCUGAAGCGAAUCAAACCAAACCAUUUUAAACUCAAAUAAAUCAAUUUGGUUCAUUGAAUUUAAAAAUCUAUUUUGGUUUGAAUUAUUUAAAAAUAAAGGAAACUAAAAUUAGAAAAAAAAAACCCAAACUGAACCAAAACUAUUUGAUUCAAGGGUUUAAAUCGAUUCAAAUGUCUCGAAACCUAAAUUUCUGUAUAGAUGAAAUUCCAAAAUUCCAAUUCCAAUAAUGUAAAUUUCCCCCCAAAAAAUUCCCAAUAAUGUAGAAAAAUCUCCAUAAAUAAUAAGAAAUGGAAAAUUUAUAGAUAUAAAAUUCCAUGUGAUAUGACUACGUUAAUAAUAAAAUUCCAAUAAUGUAUUCGGUAGAUGAUGAUUCUGGGCUUACAGUGAUAUUGACCAAGUCACUUCGGAAAGUGUGGCAUGCUAUGAAUGACAUUGAAAGCAUCCUCAACCACCUCACCUAAACUGCAUUUAUACCUCUGAGCAGCAGCUUCUCCUCUCACUCUGAGAGGCCACAAACAGAACUUCCCAUCAACUCUCCCAAUUGGCUGAGCUAGCUCGAUUGAGACAACAAUAACAACAACAACAAACAGCAGUAGUUGGUGCACAUGGAGAAGAGUAAUAAUAUUGGUGGUGCAGUUGCUGCAAGCUCUCCUCUGCCAAUGAUGGGAUCGAGGGCUCAUCAAGAGAUCAAUGAGGAUGGCAACGCUGCCUUGCGCACAGCUGAGCCCAUUGCACGUUUGGUGCCAAUGGCUCUCUGUGUUGCUGCACUUGUGCUCAUGCUUAAGAACUCUGAGACUAGUGACUUUGGCUCUCUUUCUUACUCCGACCUUGGAGCCUUCAGGUUUGUAGAUUCAUUUUUCUUUCAGUAAAUUGUAUACUUUCCGAGGAUUUCAAGAGACUCAACUGGUAUUGAUUCAUUAUAAUUGUUUAAAAAUUGCCUCAAAUAUGUAGGUAUUUAGUGCAUGCCAAUGGCAUUUGUGCAGGCUAUUCGCUUCUUUCAGCAAUUAUUGCAGCCAUGCCUCGUCCCUCCACCAUGUCUCAAGCCUGGACUUUCUUUUUCCUUGAUCAGGUAAAUAGGGCUCGUUUUUUGCUUGCUUUUGAUGAUAUUCAGCUUGAAUUGAAAUAAUUUCUACAUGAUUCCUUUCCUUAUCUUAAUUAGCUCUUCUGUUAAGCUUUCAACACAUCUUGUGUUAAAGUGUACAUCACAUCAAGGGUAGUGCAUGAUUGGAAUUCGAAUACUCACGUGAAAAUGCUAGUUUGACUUAAAUUUAUUGACAAAAUUUGACAUAAUUUGGACCAAAAACUGAGCCAUCGUUUACAAGUUGUUUCGUUAAUUUUAUGGGCAUUUUAGGGUUUUGAUUGUCGUACGGAAAAAGUAGUGAAAAAAAAUUUCACUUUAUUAUCAUGCUUUAAUAUAAUAAAACAACAGUUUAAUAUUUUUCUAAUUUUUUAUUACUAAUAUUAUAUAAACAACUAUUAAUAUUUAUAAUCAAUAAUUCUUAAGAUUAUUCUACAUUCAAUUUAUGGAAAUUAGUCUAAAUCUUCACUCUUACUAAUAUUUGGGGAUAUAAUAUUUUGUGAAAAAGAAAAUUGUCUCUACUCAAUUAUUUUUCAUUGAGUAAGGAAAUUUGAGUUCCCAUAAAUACUAGUACUCACUAAAUAAUCUUCUUCUUAUUCAUUACCACCAAUUACAUAUAAGUAAGAAACCCAAAUCAGGGAAUCUUCGUCCAUCAUAGUUCUCAAUAACGAGAAACAGAUCCGUAUAGGUCAUCCAAAUUCUAUUAUACAAUUUGUUGGUCAGAUACUUAAAUUUUUUAGUUUUAAAAAUCAAGUUAAAAACAACGGGUACGAAAACUCCCUUAGUGACAAUGACCAAACCCUAAUUUUACUUCAAUUAUAUAACUUUUGUCAAAACAAGAAUCAAAAGCUACUGCUAAAUUCAUGAACCCAGUUGCUCACUUACUUGAUUCUGGCGGCUGGAGCCGUGUCGACGGAGGUGCUGUACCUGGAACGCAAGGGAGAUUUAGCCAUCACUUGGAGCGCAGUCUGUGGUUCAUUUGGUGGAUUCUGUCAUAAAGCUAUAGCAUCAGUGAUAAUUACAUUUGUUGCAGUGGCUUGCUAUGUUGUUCUUUCGCUCAUCUCCUCUUAUAAACUCUUCAGCAAAUACGACGCGCCUAUCGCCUGCUCGGGCAAGAAUAUUGAGGUUGCCGCCUUCCAUGGCUGAUGAUCGCUCACUCAGUUUGAUGCGAUAUAUUGUGUUUGCUCAAGUUACUCCAUGCAAGUGCUUGUUUGUGUUAAUGCAUAAUUGUAAUGUAAUUAUGGUCAUGAUCUUUGCUUUUAGUCUCUCCAACACGAGAAAAUAAAUGAUCUUUGCAAGCUUUGGGUUAUGGAAAUUCUGGCAUGGAUAAAUAAACAUCCUUUGUUUUCAUAUUCUAGCAUGGAUAAAAGGCACUAAUGGAAAAAAUUGAGUACAGAAGAGGAUCUGUAAUUUGAAAUUAGAUAAGAUGCUGUGCUCAAUCAUUUCAUUUUUGAAUCAAUGGAGCAACUAAGAGUUAAAUUUGAAUAACUUAUUGAGAAUAUUUUGUUGGUUAAAAAACAGUUUUUCUAAAAAAAAAACUUUCAGGAUCAAUCUCAUAUAAUACAUAAAAAUUCGUAAUUUAAAAAAUUAUACCUUAACAGUUUGAGAAGAUGAACAAUCGAAAUUAAUCUAGGCCCUCAGAUCACGAUCCGUCACCUACCUUUUCCUGUUAGAUCACGAUCUGUCACCACCACGCUUGUUAAAUCACGAUCCGUCACCACCACGUUUCCACUGCGCUUGUUGGAUCACGAUCUGUCACCAAAUAAUCUUCCAGGCUAUGACUCAAAUUUGAUCAGCACUGGACGUGUGGGCGUCUGUUUCACUACUUCCAAAAUAGUUGGCUUAUUUUUCAGUGUUUUUCUCAAAACGUGUAUUUUAAAUCACGUUCAUCUUUAGGCUUGAGAAAAAUACACUUAUAUAAUAUCUCUUGUAAAACCCUAAAUAUGUAUUAUUAUCAUUCAAAAUAAUAAAUAUUUUGAAUUUAAUAUUAUCUCUCCGAUUACGUGAAAGUGGAGAUCAUUUGCAACCACUUUGGGGCCCACCUUGUAAAAUAACACAAGGCCCCAUUUACCCAUGAAUAUAAUACAUAAGGUUUAAACAAAUAUUAUAAUUAGGUUUAACACCUAAUAUGCUAGUUUUCUUGUUUUUAGGUCCAGUAGUGGUGUAGUCAAUUAAAUGAGCUAACCUGUGGAUAAUUUGAGAACAUACAAUAGUGGCUAUAACAAUUAAGCUUGUAAAUGAACAAGUCUAAUCAUUUAAUUCCAAUUCUACUCCACUAUAAGAUUGGAACUGACCUCCAUAAUUGUAUGCUUGAAUAAUAAUUUGUCUCAAGCCACAUUGAUUUCUUUACUGCAUAAUCCUUUGUACCACAUCGUUAAUUAAAUCGAUAUCUCAACUCUACAAUCAAUUUAAUUACAUCUUAUUCCUUGAUACUUACUAGUUUUCUCUAAUGAUCAUUUUCAACAUACUAAAUAUGUUGACACACUUUGACAAGAGAAUUUUAUGAUCAAGUGCCGAAAACUUAUCAAGAGAUGUGUUGUACAAAUUCUAUAUUGUUAAUCUAUAACUUCAAUGCUCAUAAUUGCUCCCACUAAGAUAUCGGGUAAUCUUGACUACAAGUAUGUGUUGUGCUCAUUGGUAACUCAAAUGGAAUAACAAUUACAAUCAUGAAAUUAUAACUAACUCAAGAUUAAGAUUACAGUAAAAUCAAUGCCUAUGAGAUUUAAUAAGUUUGACAGUCAUUUCAAUGUCAAUUAAACUCAUAUGUGAUCCAGCUCAAUGUAGUCAAACUACAUCAGUAAAUUUAGACAUGAUUAAGACAAAUCAUUCAAUGAAUUUACUACAAUCUAAACAUAAAUAGAGCGCCCAACUCUAUUUAUCAACUGCGAACUUAAUUUAUUUAAUCAUAAGAUAAGUUGUAUUUAUGUCUUCCGUGAAUCCAUAUGAUGAUCAUAUAAAUACAUAUAAUAUGAUUAAACAGACCUUAUUCAAAAUAUUUAUGCAAUUAAAAAUAUCUCAAAUAUUUUAUUGAUCAGAAAAUAAAUAAAUAAAUAUAUUUUAAAAGAGCACAUAAUCCCAACACAUUUCUCAUCGGAGCCUGACAUAGUUUUGAUCUGCCAUUAUAGCACCAAAAAUUUUUCACAAUAGGUUUUAUAAGGUAAUGUAUAAUCAUUAGGGAUUCAGAUCUACUUAUUCUAUUCUUAGCUUCCUUUUUAGAUCUAUUGAUCGGAGGUUGGGAAGAGAAAAAGAAUAAAUCGAUACAUUUAAACUAUCAUAAUUAAUGUACACGUCCGCGAGUCUUGAAAGACAAAUCAAGUCAAGAUGAUGAUAAUAGAGUAUUCAUUUUCAUAUAUCAUAAUUGAGACGUAUCAGUGGAGAAUUCAAUCUCCAUAUGGCACUGUAUAGUCCUUGUAAAAUAUCACUUAAUUCCCCAGUCAAAAUUCAUUUAAGCCCCCAUUGAAAGAGUUUUUAAACCUUUGGUUGAGAAUGGUAGCUUUUGUUGAGCCCCAAUCUAUUUUACUUGUUUUCCCCAUUAAUCUUUUAAACUAAAUAUAUAAUAACAUUCAGGUUUACUUUUAAAUAUUUGUUGUACUAUUUUCAUAUUUUAUAUUAAAAUAACUACUUAAACUUUACCAGUUUUUAAUAAAUUGAGAAUUUUACUCAUUAGUCAUCUCUGUUUACACAAAUAAAGAUUGAAAAAAAAUCAACAUUAUUUUUAUGAAAAACCUCAAUUUUAAUUGCCUCUGAGCAGGUAGGUAAGUGGUGUUAAAACAAUUUUAUUUAGCUGACGAAUCAAAUUCAAAUUUUGGAAAAAUUAAAGCACUAUAAAAUUUUAACCAACCUUACCUUUUUAAAAAGAAAAAUCAAUUUAUAAAUUUAAUUUAUUGAUAAGGACGACGAGAUGGCACAGAAGAUUUAAACACAAGAAAACAAAAUAAAAACAAGAAGGAAAAGAAAUUAAAAAAAAAAAAGAAGAAACAAAACUACAUCAAAAUGAAUUUUUAUAAUCAUAGGGAAUAGGGAUGGACGGAUAGUACCUGACACGAUCGUGCUUCUUUGGUCUUUUAUUUAUUUAUUUUUUUCAGUUUGUUUUUUUCCCUGCUGAUCAACUCAUUUUGUGAUCUUUCUUUUAUCCACACCAGACAUUUUCCUCAGCUCUAAAAUAAAUCCGAGUACAUUCUUCUCAUCUUGAAGAGACUUGGAAACAGAUUCUCACUGCUUGCAUCUUUUUGCCCAUGCAAUAAUUUUGGGCCACUCAGUCUCAAAGAUGAAUUGACCCAAUGUUUCAUAUGAGUGAAACCAACAAUAGAAAGGAAUAAAAGCCACAUCCACGAAACCGAACAUUUUCUCCCCAAAAUGAGGAUCGUCUCCAAGCUCUUCCUGCAAUGUUUUCAGAAUUUCAAUUAAUUCCUUCGUUACUUCCUCCAGUUGUUCUGUUUUUAAGGCCCAUAUCUACUUUCCAUCUGUAUAAAUCUGCAAAUAAUUAUUUUACCUCAUUUAAUAACAUUCGUUAUUUAUUUACUAGAGCAACAAUUUUUUUGAUUCAUGACUAGGACAGUUUAUUUUUCGACUGAAUGUAUAUAGUGAAUAAAGAUUAUAUUUAUUUUUUAGCCUCUUAUCUCUUCUGCAAUUCGAAUUCGGAUGGCAAACUAAAUAAAACUGUUUGAAAGCUAUUCUACCAAAUCACUUGGAGACCAAAACACUUAUUAAAAAACAUUUGUAUAAAUUAAGAUAUAAUCUUUUUAUUAUAUUAAGAACCUUUAUCUUACUCAAUGUUUUAUAACAAUCAAUUUAUAAAAAAUAUAUAUAUAUAUAUAUAUAUUAUUUAGAUUUUUAAAUUUGUAUCUAUUCAUAUUUUAAUCAAAUUCAAAUUUCAUAUGAAAAAAAUGAUACCUAAAUUUUAUCGUUUUAGAUACCAAAAACUACAAUCAAAACUUAGAACAAAUAAAAAUAAAUAAAAAAGAAAGAAAGAUAGAACACCAAAAUUGCCAUAAAAUAUUAACUCUAUCAAUCAUAAUAUUAAACAUACAUUCUUGUCAAUAUAAUUGGGGACUAGCUUCGCACCUCACCCAAGGAACUCAAGGGUGCGUAGCUUGCUUGUUAAAGAGGUGUUUCUGUUCCUCUGUUGUGGGAGAGUUUUUCCCUAGUUUGGUCCUAUAAGAAGAGUUCUCUAGACUUUGUUAUGAUCAUAAAGACUACUUAGGCGCUUAGCCACUCCUAUAUUGAAGCUUAGGUCAUAGUUUUGGCAGAAAGAGGAAUUGUAGCAAUCUUUGAUCAAAGAGCGUUCGUGCUUCGGUGAUUCAACUGCAUCACAGUUGAUUCGAAUAGAAAACGGUGCUUUGGAUUGGGAGCAAUCAUUAAUGAUUGGGAAAAAAUUAAGGGGAAGGAUAAAGAAAAGAGUGAUGUUGUUGAUGCUGAAAAAAAAAAAAAAACUUCAACAGCUGAAUUUAUUUUAUGGGGGAUAACAGCACGAACCCAACCUCAAAUGUCAAUUCGAUCACAAUGUUUCAAAUCUGCCAACCACAAAACAUGGUUAGGAUGCAAUGGAGGGGAUUCAGGCAUAGAUCCUCCAAUAUCUAAGUUAGAUAUUUGCCAUAUAAGAAGGGGAAAUGGGUUGGAAAAAUUAGAGAUAAUGUUGGAAUUCCAUGGAUUUUCGGUGUUGUUGUUGAAGAUCAUGUAGUAAGUAGAAUGGUUGAAAGGUUGAUAACUUGUAGAGUUAGUUGAAUUCUUCAUCUAAUGCUCUCUUUAGCUUAAAUAGGACCUGGAUUGUGGGUGGUAACCUCCUCGAUUUCAGCACACUCUCCAACAAGUACCGGUAGUUGUCUAUCAAUUGAGGGUGCUUGAAAAUGUAGUGGCACAUAACUUUCCUAAAAAAUAAGCCACAUUUAUCAAACAAAUUUUCAAGUCCAACAACUUUAGGUUGUACUAAUAACCAGGUUGGCGACAUAAGCUUCAAGUUAUAUUUACAGACUAGGUUACUAAUAUAGGUUUAUGGUUGUACUUAUAAACCAGGUCGCCAAUAUAGGCUUAGGGUUGUACUUACAGACCAUGUCGCCAACAUAGGCCUGAGGUUGUACUUAUAAACUAGGUCACCAAUAUAGAAUUGAGCUUGUACUUAUAAACUUAGUCGCUAACAUAGGCUUCAAGUUGUACUUAUAGUCAGUUGAAUGGCAAUAGGUUCUGAGUGCGCUUGGGUCAGCUCUUUUUUUUUUUUUAAAAAAAAAAACUUGAAUUUGUUUGGGUUUGUGAAAAUAUGGUGACUUGUCUUAAGCACCAUCUGCUUGUUGCGUUAUCACAUUUUUUAAUGAUAAGUGCAUAUUUUUCAUAUAUUUUGUUAUUAAUUUCUCUGUCUUUUUCUUGUUUUGAUCUUAAAUAUUCUAGUUAUUUUAGUUAAAUUUUAAUUGAAUAGGGAAUUAAUUAAUAUACAUAUUUUACCCUUUUAUUAUAUAUUUACUAGUUAUUUUUAUUUCUUAUUUUUAAUUAAUUGUAUUAUUUUAUUGAAUAGGGAAUUAAUUGGAGAUUAUGAANNNNNNNNNNNNNNNNNNNNNNNNNNNNNNNNNNNNNNNNNNNNNNNNNNNNNNNNNNNNNNNNNNNNNNNNNNNNNNNNNNNNNNNNNNNNNNNNNNNNNNNNNNNNNNNNNNNNNNNNNNNNNNNNNNNNNNNNNNAACCGAGUGGAAGAAAUCAAAGCAAUUAAUCCAAUUGAUAAAUGUUGAAUAAUUAAAAGAUUUAAUUUUUUCCAAUUGGCAAUUGGAGUACACGUGCAUGGCAUUGCAAAAGUGGAAAGCAUUUAAACGGGCCCGCAAUUGACUUUCAAAAGUUGGAAUUAAUGGCUUUUGGUGGCGUUAAAUUGGAAAAGGAUUUCAAUUAGAAUUGAAAAAUGAUUUCUUUAUUCUUGUUGGAGAAGAAUUCGGUCAACUAGCAUUAUAAAAGGAGAUUGCAGCCGCUGGAUAGAAAAAAAACAAAGGAGAAGAAUUCGGGCAGCAAGAGACUUUGGAAGAGGGCAGAUCCAAUUGGGCAGCAAGAGGAAAAUCAACAGCCGCUUGAAUUAAUCUCCAUGAUUGGUUUUAUCAAUUCUCUUAUUUCCAAUUCAAUUAUGUUAGGCUAGAUUUUUAUUUAGUUGAGGGUGAAUUUAAAACCCUAAACAUGCUAUGCAAUUAAAUUUAAAUUCUAUCAUUUAAUUUAUUUAAUUGAGAUUGUUUAUGUUCUUCUAUAAUUAAUGUUCAUGGUUUAUUCUUAUUUUAUUUGAGUGGCCAAUUAGAUAGGACUUGAAUAAAUUUUAUUGCUAGAUUAAAAUUCUUGAUCCGUAAUUGUCUUGAUAUUUUAAUCAUUAGUAGCAGGUUGGAAUUAAUGAUUUCAAUUGGAGAACAUAACUUAGGUUAAAUAAUCCGAGCUUGUGUGUUUAUUGCCUAGAUCAACCUAAUAUCUUUCUUUGUUUAAUGCUUCCAUUAUCUUAAAUUUAAAGAGCUUGUUUUAAAUUAUUUAAUGGUUAGAGAUUAUGUGAAGAGCUUGUUUUGCCUAACGACACACUAAGGAAAGAUUGAGACUAACAGAGCUUAUUGUUGUCUACGGUUGAUAGUUUCAAUAUAAAUUGAUGAUAGAAUUAAUAUAUUAUGUGCAUGUUUGGUGGUGGCGAAUGAUCCUUUAACCAAAGUUUUCAUCAUUAUUAUUUCUUUCUCCUUUAAUUAGAGUUUUUAUUAAAUUCUUGUUCGUAAUUUUAAUUUCUUUAUUUCUUACUAUUUAGUUAAAAAUUCAUAAACCCCCCUUUUAUUUUUAAUUGGCAUUUUCUUUAGUUAGAUUAAUUUAUAUUAUUAUUACUAUUACUAUUAUUAUUAUUAUUACUAUUAUUUUAUUUUAAAUCUUGCUUUGGAGUUAAUAAUAAAUAUAACUAGCAUAGUCUCUGUGGGAUCGAUCCUUACUCGCUUUGUACUAAUUAUUUAUAUUAGUGGUAAGGUUUUAAAUUUGGUGCACCUUAACGACACUACCAAAUUUUAUGAUAUGCCUCUUACAUGUUCUACUUUUUAUGAGCCGACUUCAUGUAAAGUGUUAAGGCAGGUGUAUAAUAUGAGUGAUGCUCUUAAGACUUUUAGAGAGAAUAAUAUGUUUACAAUUCUUUUUGAUGCUAGGGAGGAAAAAUUCUAAAAACAUUGCAAAGAUAUUCCCCACCUAUUUAUAUUUGCAGUAGUGUUGGAUCCUACAAUCAAGACAGUUAGUGCAAAACUUUUAGCUGAUGGUAUUACAGAAAAUUCACUCACAGGACUAUAUAUAAAUUUUCAUACAAUUAUGUUUUUUAUGAAUGAACUUUUUGUUAGCCUAAAGGGUUACACAUAAUGUAAUUUUGAUGAUAACAAACAUGUGUCUUAAGUGAUUUGGUAAAUAUUAUAUUUCACAUUUUCAUUAGUUCUUGAAGAAUAAUAUUUAUGAUGAAGUGAACGGACAACGGCGCGAUCAAGAAUAAAGUUUAGAGCUCAACGGACUCAUUUUGCAACAAUUCUUGUAAAGCCGGUAUGAUUUAAUAUAUGUAUGGUUUAGCAUUUGAGAAGUUCAAGAUUUCGUUUAAUAAAUCAUUAUUUUUCAUAAAUCAAAGGUUUUACAAUUAUAAACCAAGCAUUUUAUGAAAUUUUUUAUUUUUCAAGAUGUGAACUAAAAUGAAAAAGUUUUACAAUCUUUGAUUUUAAUAAGUAUUGUUUUGAAUUUCGGUUUUGGACAUAUUUUUUGCAAAUAUUUGAAACAUUUUGUUUCUCCUUUAAUUAGAGUUUUUAUUAAAUUCUUGUUCGUAAUUUUAAUUUCUUUAUUUCUUACUAUUUAGUUAAAAAUUCAUAAACCCCCCUUUUAUUUUUAAUUGGCAUUUUCUUUAGUUAGAUUAAUUUAUAUUAUUAUUACUAUUACUAUUAUUAUUAUUACUAUUAUUUUAUUUUAAAUCUUGCUUUGGAGUUAAUAAUAAAUAUAACUAGCAUAGUCUCUGUAGGAUCGAUUCUUACUCGCUCUGUACUAAUUAUUUAUAUUAGUGGUAAGGUUUUAAAUUUGGUGCACCUUAACGACACUACCAUUUAAUAUAAAUUUUGCUAGGUUUUAGAAUUGUCCUACUUUGUUCUAUGCAGUCACUGAUUAAUAAAGUAACAUGGUGUCUAGUUGGAGGUUACUAUCAUUUUGCUUUGUUGAUGUACUGUGUAUUGGUAUUGAAUAGAAAGUUAAGGUUUUAAGGUUUAGGCAGCAAUGGAGUUUAGAGGCAACAAUAAUUUGCUUUGAGAAUUUGUAAAAUGCAGUUAGAAAUUCGUUAAAUGGGUUCAGUGAUGUUGAAUCGGGAAUGAACAAUAAUCAAGAAAUCAGAGGAGAUAAUGAACUAGAAUCAAAUUACAGUGUAAUUGUAAUUGUGGGGAAUGAUCUACACAGGUAGGCCGGUGACAAAUCCGAUGAUAUGUUGCUUAAAAAUAAUGGAGAUGAACAUGAGUAAUACAUCAUGAAGAAUUGAAAUUUGAUACAACAAUUGAAGAGAUUAAAGACGAGUCCAGAUUCCAAAUGAUAUUACACUUAGGUUAUUGAGGGAAGAUGAGAUAGCCAGUGGAUUAGGUGAUGGAGAAAUUGCGGUAUACAUAGAGAUGAGUAAACUUGGUUUCAGGUUGCCAAUUCAACCUUAUUUUGCUCGAAUUUUGGUAAGGAUGGGUUUGAGUCACGGUCCACUUAAUUUAAAUGGCUGGAGGGUUUUAGGUGAUAUGUAUGUUUUAUGGGCCGAGUAGAACAAUAUUGAACCUUGUUUUAAGGAACUCACACACUUGUAUCUAUAUAGUAAACAUGGGGUAUGUCAUAAAAGAUAAUACUCUUUUGUCCAAAUCAAAAGGUAGAAGAGUAAUGCUCGACUUUUCGAGCUCAUGUAGGGGUUUGAAAAGUAAACACUUUGUGGUGGGUGGAAAUUAGGGUAAGGAUGUAGAAUUAAAAAAGGGUUGGUCUAAAGUUCCUACUCAAUUUAAUAGACCACGUAAAGAAAGUUUUAUUCAGGUUGAGGUAAGAAUAGGGUUGUAAACUAACACUUGUGUUUUGUUGUAUUGACUUGGAAGAGGAACAUUGGCAUAGAUGACAAAUUAAAUGCAAGAAUUAACAAAGAAUUUUUAAAUGUAGAGGACUCGAAGCUUUUGUUAGCACCUGAGAGAUUGCUUAGCACUGUUCUCAUUUCCAAUUUACCCCAAAAUUGUUCAUGCUACAAUUUUGGUCUAUGUAUGUAUUACAAACUUCCUCAAAAUCUCUUAGAUGCAAAUAUGGAUUCUCAUAUUCUAAACCAUGAAAUGUUGGUAAAAGUUGGAUAAUACAUGGUUUGAAGUUGAAUCGAGACGCUUCUAGAGGAAAUACUAUACGUGACGGUGCUCUGGUUCUCAUUGGAUUCAUGUAAUCUCUCAAAGUUCUUAGUUGAUUCUGAUCAUGUUGAGAUUAGUUGUCUCCCUGAUCAACUGGAGGAUUAAAUUGGCCUAAAAUGUUUUCAUCUUGGAUCUCGUCCAUGAUUGGUGGUGGUGAUUGAGAUCUACGAAUUAACCUACCACUUGAAGUUCAAGACCAACGUCUCAUGCAAUGAUGAUGAUGUGUAAGUAUAAAAUUAUGUUGUAAAGUUGAUACACGAACAAAUGACUAACAAAUAAAAAAUGAAAAAUUACACAAAUUGAAGACAAAAGGAAAAUUAAAUAAAUAAGAUAAAUGUACAAAAAAAUAAACUAAAAUUUAAUUAACUAAAAUUAAAAUAACUAAAUAGGCAAUAAACCAAACAUAUAAACAAGGUAAAAGCCAAAAAUAAAAUAAAUGCAAAAAUUAAAUUGCAGAAAUAAAUAAAAGAAAAAAAGAAAAGAAAUAAUUAAAGUGGAGGCUCUUUUUCUUUUCUUUUUUCAAAUUUUAAAAAUUACCAACCAAUUAGUGAUUAGUUCAAAUUAAUGGGCCUUGUAAUUUUUAAAGUCAAAAUUCAUUUUAUUGAAUCCAAAUUAGGUCCAAAGAAAUUGAAUUUUGGUCCAAGAAAGUUCAAGUUAUAUGUCCGAAUUUGAGAUUAAUGGGAAAUUUUGCCAAGGGACCUAUUCGAAAAUGUUUUGUGAUUUGGUGGUCCAACCGUAAUUAUGAGAAGAAUGAGCCAGAAACUUUUUGUGGUACAACUGAAAUUAUGAAAGAGUUGGGGAUUGAACAAAAUUUAAGAAACGAAAAAGGGGGUAAAAGAAAAUUUACAUAAAAAGUUAAAAAAAAAGAAAAAAAAACAAAAUAAAUACCUCUCCUCGGCAACGGCGUUAAAAACUUGACACGACUUUAAAGUAAUUUCUAACUCCCAAAUAUAAGAGUGUCUUGUUAGAUUAUAACUCGGUGAGUCUGAGGUCGAUCCACAAAUAAAUGAUUUAAUUUUUUUAUUUAAGUUUAUCAAAAACAUUAAAUUAAAAAUUAAAAAUAUGCAAUUUAAUUUAAGAAAAACUAUGAAAUUGAAUUAGUUAGGGUUAUGGAUCCACUUUUAGUAAUAAAUACAAUUUAACAAUUCUUUUUAUUUUUAUUUUAUUUCUCAAAAGAUUAAUUGUAUAAAUUAAAAUAAUUUUCCCAUUAAUUUUAUUAUAGAUUAAGAACUUAAUGUGCCAAA